rnacentral:tRNA from 1 species
GGAAGAUCGUCAUCUCCGGUGAGGUGGCUGGACUUCAAAUCCAGUUGGGGGCGCCAGCGUUCCCAGGCAGGUUCGACUCCUGUGAUCUUCCGCCA